rnacentral:ncRNA from 2 species
GGGUGACUCCAGAGGUCGAGAGACCGGAGAUAUCACCC